rnacentral:rRNA from 1 species
UACGUAGGGGGCAAGCGUUGUCCGGAUUUAUUGGGCGUAAAGAGCGUGUAGGCGGCCAGACAGGUCUGUUGUGAAAACUCGAGGCUCAACCUCGAGACGUCGACGGAAACCGUCUGGCUAGAGUCCGGAAGAGGAGUGUGGAAUUCCUGGUGUAGCGGUGAAAUGCGCAGAUAUCAGGAAGAACACCUAUGGCGAAGGCAGCACUCUGGGACGGUACUGACGCUGAGACGCGAAAGCGUGGGGAGCGAACAGG